CAGAACAGAGGGGAUUUCUGCAAAGUUUGGGGGAGCAAACAGGGUGCCCCCAGCUCUUCCUCCGGUCUGGAAAACGGAAGGAAGAAAAAUGGCCAGAUUUUGUUUCCAUAAGCAGUUUAAAUGUGCUCUGGUCAAGAAAGUCAACUAAAGACUGAGGAACCGGAUGAAAGGAAACUAAA